rnacentral:rRNA from 1 species
UGAGUACGAGAUGCUACGGCAUCGAAGCAGUCUAUGUCAUACUUCCAAGAAAAGCUUGCACUGUCAUAAACAAAGAAUGCCUGUACCAUAACCGACACAGGUGGGUAGGUAGAGUAUACUAAGGGGCGCGAGAUAACUCUCUCUAAGGAACUCGGCAAAAUGACUCCGUAACUUCGGGAGAAGGAGUGCCUUAUUUCUAAGGUUGCAAUAACAAGAUCCAAGCAACUGUUUACCAAAAACACAGGUCUCCGCUAAGUCGUAAGACGAUGGGGGCUGACGCCUGCCCAGUGCCAGAAGGUUAAAGAAGUUGGUUAGCAUUAGCGAAGCUGAUAACUGAAGCCCUGGUGAACGGCGGCCGUAACAAUAACGGUCCUAAGGUAGCGAAAUUCCUUGUCGGGUAAGUUCCGACCCGCACGAAAGGCGUAAUGAUUUGGAUACUGUCUCGGAGAGGGGCUCGGUGAAAUAGACUUGUCUGUGAAGAUGCGGACUACCUGCACCUGGACAGAAAGACCCUAUGAAGCUUUACUGUAACUUGAGAUUGAAAUUGGACUUUAUUUGCGCAGUAUAGGUGGGAGGCGUUGAGAAUAAUCUUGCGGGAUUGUUGGAGCCAUCAGUGAGAUACCACUCUUGUAAUGUUAGAUUUCUAACUUUGUAUCAUUAUCUGGUCAAAGAACAGUUUCAGGCGGGCAGUUUGACUGGGGCGGUCGCCUCCCAAAGGGUAACGGAGGCGCACAAAGGUUUCCUCUGAACGGGUAGAAAUCGUAUCUAGAGUGUAAAGGCAUAAGGAAGCUUGACUGUGAGACCUACAAGUCGAGCAGGGACGAAAGUCGGUCUUAGUGAUCUGACGGUGCUGAGUGGAAAGGCCGUCACUCAACGGAUAAAAGUUACUCUAGGAUAACAGGCUGAUCUCCCCCAAGAGUUCACAUCGACGGGGAGGUUUGGCACCUCGAUGUCGGCUCAUCGCAUCCUGGGGCGGUAGUCCGUCCCAAGGGUUGGGCUGUUCGCCCAUGAAAGCGGUACGCGAGCUGGGUUCAGAACGUCGUGAGACAGUUCGGUCCAUAUCCGGUGUAGGCGUUAGAAUAUUGAGAGGAGCCUUCUCUAGUACGAGAGGACCGAGAAGGACAUACCUCUGGUGUACCAGUUAUCGUGCCAACGGUAAACGCUGGGUAGCUAUGUAUGGAGUGGAUAACCGCUGAAAGCAUCUAAGUGGGAAGCCCACCUCAAGAUAAG